GGCAUCAGUGGCAGACCAAUUAAUUGUAAUAAUGGAUGGUGGAAGAACCACUCUGAAUCCAUCAUUGGAUCGCCCACACAAUACUCGUUGACUGCGGUGGACCUGCACAUUAGCAAGUGACGUACCCCUCCAUUGCUGAUCAGGAAACGCAUCUAGAUUUCCUACCCGCCCACGGACCUCCCACCCAUCAGACGAGUCCCACGCGACCCCGCGGCUGGAACGAACAACGAAGCAGGUACGUGAGCGGGUAGAAAUGUAAAUACGUCAGCGACAGUUCUGAUCUCAGCCGUUCGAUGAAUGCGAACCUCCGCGUCGACGGGGGUGCAGAUAUCGUCUUCCCUCUUCUUCGUUGCAACUACGCAGUGCAAGGAAGACCCUCCCGUUGGGAUCCUCUCCAAGCAGUCAACGGAUCUUUUUACGAUGCCGCAACUAUUCACGGUCGAGAUGUGGUUAACAGAGCCUGUCGUACAUGUAGAAUCGGAGAGGAUCCACGCCCCAUCAAGCUCUCGUCCGGGGUGCGGAUUUUUCGCACUUGCGACCAAAAUCUUCCCGAGGAUCCUUUUUUUCUUUCCCUUCGCCUGCGUCCUCGGCGCCCCAUCCGAAGCGGGCGAUUAAAGAUCUCGAUUCGGUAGAGUCUCCGGUUACCAAAACGACACCGACUUUGAUCGCUAUCUCAACCACAUCGUCUUCGUGUUAUCUUCUUAUCUCAUCUUCCUGCAUCUCUGUCUGACAAUAAUGCAGGAUAAUGUGGAAGAUCGACAGCCUUGCAUAGGGUUUAUGGGUUCUGUUCUUUGCUGUUUGGGCGUGGAUGAUUCGGAAGCGGAAGAGCAUCACCGGGGGCCUGUUUGCGAUCUCAGAUGCUUGAUUCUGCGCAGCCUGAAUGUUUAUGAUCUUAAUCCUCGUCGAGAACGACGCAUUCAACCUUCAUCUGAUCAGGAGUCAACUCCCGCAUCUCCUGCUUCACCGGAAGACGAUUCUGCAGCGGGUGCACAUUGUUCUCCCGAUGAUCCUACAUGCUGCGCGUCCAACAAGGCUUCAGGGCACCUCCAUGGCAGGCGAGCCUCAUCCGAACUGAACUGUGAUGGAAUAUUCAAUCACUCAGCACCGGCACACAUUUACGCUAUCUCCGAAGACGAAGAUGUUUGUGAUAAGUAGAUGAGAUUUCCCUAACUGUUGAGGAAAUCUCUCUACUCUGUUGAGGGAAAUCCUCUAACCCGUUGAGGAAACUUCUCCUUCUAACCUGUAUAUAAAGACGGAGGAUAUGUCAAUAACAUUCAACUUCUUCUUCUACAACUCAUUUAUCUCUUUAUUUUAACAUGGUAUCAGAGCAGCUCCUCUUGGCGACAGUAGCAUUGCCAUGUGUUAGCCAAGCGGCCACAGUAGCACGCUGCCUCAAGCGGAGUCAUUGAAGAAGCACCAAGACACGGAUUCAGAGCCAGUGCUAACCGGUCUUGCCUUUCUUCGCCGGCCUUGCUCCCUCUCCUAUUUGAGCCAGUGCUAACCGGUCUUGCCUUUCUUCGCC